CCUACGGGAGGCAGCAGUGAGGAAUAUUGGUCAAUGGGCGCUAGCCUGAACCAGCCAAGCAGCGUGAAGGAUGAAUGCCCUAUGCGUCGUAAACUUCUUUUAUCGGGGAACAAAGUGCACUACGUAUACCGUUUUGAAUGUACCCUACGAACAAGCAUCGGCUAACUCCGUGCCAGCAGCCGCGGUAAUACGGAGGAUGCGAGCGUUAUCCGGAUUUAUUGGGUUUAAGGGGUGCGUAGGCGGUUGGGAAAGUCAGCGGGAAAAGUCCGGGGCCAAACCGCGGAGAGCCGUUGAAACUGGCAACCUAGAGAAGGUGAGAGGUACGCGGAAUUCGUGGUGUAGCGGUGAAAUGCAUAGAUAUCGCGAAGAACUCCGAUUGCGAAGGCAGCGUGCUGGCC
rnacentral:rRNA from 1 species